GUUUCAGUAGUGUAGUGGUCAUCACGUUUGCCUAACACGCUAAAGGUCCCCAGUUCGAAACUGGGCGGAAACA
rnacentral:tRNA from 1 species